rnacentral:lncRNA from 1 species
AACCCUCAUUUGCUAACCUAAUCCUAUUCCUCUCACUAGCUUUUAGAAAUUACAAAGGCUUUGAUUCUGCUUUACCUCUUUGAGUCUGGAAUUGCAACCCUAGAAAGACAAAUUACAGGAGAACAACGAUUGGAUAAGGCUACAAGCAUAAGCUGCGGGUGUUGCUUAUUCUUAGUUGAUGACUAAUCAUACCAGUCAAAUGGCAGUUUUUGGAGCAGACAUGAUUAGUAGGGGUGUUCAUGGUCCAGUUUUUACGGUGACCGCAACAUUUGGGAAAAAAAGUUUUUAGGUGUGGAAGACGUGAGUAGAUGGGUGAGAAGGCAACGUAGUGAGCGUGCUUCGUGCAAAUUUCUAUGCGGUUUUGUUGCUAGCUGCCACCACAUAUCUGCUUCAUGUUGCAAAAUAUCAAAGACAAGUAGAGUCCCUGUUAUAGUUAAGGCAUCAAAGCGGAGUUGAGCAUAUUUGUUUGUGGAAAACUCUGUAACAAUGGUGGUGGCUAUCAAAAGUUUGGUGGCAAACGAUAAUGUUGAUAGCGGUCAGAUAUUCAGGUAGCCACUGGAAUAUGGUGGUUGUUUGGGCGGCGAUUGGAAGUUCGCGCAACCACUGAAAUCUGGUAGUUUUGGGGCAGCACUCAGAAGUCUGGGCUGCAACCGGAGUUAGGUGGUUUUAGCUUUGUAUCUGUUUGAUAUGUAGUUCAUCUCUCUCUGUAUCAUUGUUAGUGUUGGUUUAUGGGUUAAGAUUAAGAGACAAUUUC